GACAGAGGGUGCAAACGUUGUUCGGAAUUACUGGGCGUAAAGCGCGUGUAGGCGGCUAAGUAAGUCGGGCGUGAAAUCCCACGGCUCAACCGUGGAAGUGCACUCGAAACUGCAUAGCUAGAGUCCUGGAGAGGAAGGUGGAAUGCUUGGUGUAGAGGUGAAAUUCGUAGAUAUUGGGAAGAACACCGGUGGCGAAGGCGGCUCACUGGCUCAUUACUGACGCUGAGGCGCGGAAAGCGUGGGGGAGCAAACAGG
rnacentral:rRNA from 1 species